rnacentral:rRNA from 1 species
CCUACGGGGGGCAGCAGUGAGGAAUAUUGGUCAAUGGGCGCGAGCCUGAACCAGCCAAGUAGCGUGAAGGAUGACUGCCCUACGGGUUGUACACUUCUUUUAUAAAGGACUAAAGUGAGGCACGUGUGCCUUUUUGUAUGUACUUUAUGAAUAAGGAUCGGCUAACUCCGUUCCAGCAGCCGCGGUAAUACGGAGGAUCCGAGCGUUAUCCGGAUUUAUUGGGUUUAAAGGGAGCGUAGAUGGGUUGUUAAGUCAGUUGUGAAAGUUUGCGGCUCAACCGUAAAAUUGCAAUUGAUACUGGCAGUCUUGAGUACAGUUGAGGUAGGCGGAAUUCGUGGUGUAGCGGUGAAAUGCUUAGAGAUCACGAAGAACCCCGAUUGCGAAGGCAGCUUACUAAACUGUGACUGACAUUGAUGCUCGAAAGUGUGGGUAUCAAACAGGAUUAGAUACCCCAGUAGUC